AUUGAACGUUGGCGGAAUGCUUUACACAUGCAAGUCGAACGGCAGCACGGACUUCGGUCUGGUGGCGAGUGGCGAACGGGUGAGUAAUGUAUCGGAACGUGCCCAGUCGUGGGGGAUAACGUAGUGAAAGUUACGCUAAUACCGCAUACGAUCUAUGGAUGAAAGCGGGGGAUCGCAAGACCUCGCGCGAUUGGAGCGGCCGAUAUCAGAUUAGGUAGUUGGUGGGGUAAAGGCCCACCAAGCCAACGAUCUUUAGCUGGUCUGAGAGGACGACCAGCCACACUGGAACUGAGACACGGUCCAGACUCCUACGGGAGUCAGCAGUGGGGAAUUUUGGACAAUGGGCGAAAGCCUGAUCCAGCCAUUCCGCGUGCAGGAUGAAGGCCCUCGGGUUGUAAACUGCUUUUCUACAGAACGAAAAGGUUUCUACUAAUACUAGGAGCUCAUGACGGUACUGUAAGAAUAAGCACCGGCUAACUACGUGCCAGCAGCCGCCGUAA
rnacentral:rRNA from 1 species